AUUGAACGCUGGCGGCAGGCCUAACACAUGCAAGUCGAGCGGAUGAAGGGAGCUUGCUCCUGGAUUCAGCGGCGGACGGGUGAGUAAUGCCUAGGAAUCUGCCUGGCAGUGGGGGAUAACGUCCGGAAACGGGCGCUAAUACCGCAUACGUCCUGAGGGAGAAAGUGGGGGAUCUUCGGACCUCACGCUAUCAGAUGAGCCUAGGUCGGAUUAGUUAGUUGGUGGGGUAAAGGCCUACCAAGGCGACGAUCCGUAACUGGUCUGAGAGGCUGAUCAGUCACACUGGAACUGAGACACGGUCCAGACUCCUACGGGAGGCAGCAGUGGGGAAUAUUGGACAAUGGGCGAAAGCCUGAUCCAGCCAUGCCGCGUGUGUGAAGAAGGUCUUCGGAUUGUAAAGCACUUUAAGUUGGGAGGAAGGGCAGUAAGUUGAUACCUUGCUGUUUUGACGUUACCAACAGAAUAAGCACCGGCUAACUUCGUG
rnacentral:rRNA from 1 species